AUGGGCUCCAUGCUCUUCGGUUGGCUGGCCUUUUGUCUCCUGGUGGCAGGUCCAGUCAACCCUAAAAUUAUCCAGAAACCAAAACAUCUGGUGGCAGUCACAGGGAGUGAGAGAAUCCUGAUAUGCGAACAAUAUCUAGGCCACAAUGCUAUGUAUUGGUAUAGGCAAAGUGCUGAGAAGUCCAUAGAGCUCAUGUUUUCCUAUAACUAUCAAAAACUUGUUGACAAUCAGACUGUCCCAAGUCGAUUCCAACCUCACAAUUCACAGAAAACCUACUUAGACCUUCAGAUCACAGCCCUACAGCCUGACGACGCAGCUACAUACUUCUGUGCCAGUAGCCAAGACACAGCCCUUUAG